UUCAUGGCACAUUUUUAUUCACAUAAUAAUUAUGAAGUAAACUGAGGAGGGAAGCUGGUGCAGGCAACAAGACAACACCAAGACUGUAUGCAAUAAUACACCACAAGACAAAGUAUUCAUUUCCUACCAAAUUCUGCCUGCACCUGGUCUUCCAGUCUGAUCUUGCAAGUAACUUCUUUCAAGACUGGUCCUUAGAAAAGGAAGCUCUGAAGUAGGAAGCUCUAAAAUGGCUUUUCUCUCUCUCUUCUUCUUCCCUCCCUCCCUCCCUCCCUUCCUUCCUUCUUCUUUCUUUCUUUCCUUCUUUCCUUCUUUCUUCUUUCUUUCUGUUUAGCAUUUAAGCAAACAGAGAUCACAGACUUCACUGCUUUCCCUUUCAGAUGCAGAGCAGCCUACUUUCCUUCUCCAGUAUUCAUGUUAUUGAAACAAAAGAAAGGAAAAACUCAGAAUUCCCAUCUAAUGAGAGAUAUUUGUCCCAGUCCACUAAACACACCACCAGUAUAAAGGGGCAGGACAGCAUUUUCCUCACAUCACAGAAUGCUGAUGCUCUUCUGAAGACUUCUGCUUCCAGUCACUGCUCCAGUUGGUUCCUAUCACUUCCAGCAUUGCACACAGUGCUAACUGCUGCCGCAUGGCCAUUCUUGCUGAGUCUACAGAAAACUCACAGUCUUUUUGCUGACAGCGUAACCCAUAAGACUGCAGUGUCAUGGAAGCAGUCUCUCAGGUUGUUUUGGGAUUUUGUUUUGUCUUUUUUUGCUCUGAUUUCUUAGAAUCAUUGAAAACUUCUUACUCUUCUCUGCUUCUUUACAUUUUACAGAAGGUGCAAUCAACUGAAUUCACUCAUCGAUUUCACCUCCAACGUGUUCUCAGCAUGCGGCUAUCUCAUCAGCUCCACAUUCCACAGCAGCCUUGCCUUUCAUCUUACUCAUUCUUUGGUGUGGCUGUUUGAUGACUGGAGCAAGAACUACUUGUUCAUGUAUGGAGUCCUUAAUCACCAAGCGUCUAGAGCAGAAAUUCCAGUGUUUUGCCUUUAAUAAUACCCACUGACCUUGCACUGGGUAUUACAGCAUUUCAUCUUGUUCCUACUCAUCUACUAAAAGCUCCCUUAGUUCUUCUUGUGUAACAAUCUGAUCUCUUCCAUUUUGCUUCUCAAAUCUCUCAUCCUCAAACUGUUUGAUUCUUCUAUGUGUGUAAAAGAGAGACUAAAAUAACACAGCAUUUUCGGGUGAGAUCAUGUAUCUUCCUACCAGCUGUGGCUCCUGCGCCAUAAACUCAUCACAGCUACCUCCAGCACCCAGGGCUUUGCAUUUUAGCAUGCACAUCUUCUGAAAUAUCAGGAGUUUGUGUAUCCUCCUCCCUUUCCUGAUGUGAAAUUCCCAGCUGUGCAUAGCUAGAGCAGAGCCAGGAGAAUGGCUGACUUACUCUGUCCAACAGAUGAUAUGCCACAUCCACAGAGUGCCAACCCGCUGCAUUUAAGGAGCUCAGUAGGCAUUGUCAGACCUCUAGGUCUUUCUUCAACUAAGCUUUUCAAAAUCAAGUAAAUUUCAUAGAUCUCCAGCACUCUUUUUUUCUCUUUGUGUGAUCAUUAUUCUUGGUGUUAUUCUUGGUGGCAACAUGCCUUCAAGGAACAAAUACCAUGCCAUAUCCUGGUUCUCUGUAAUACCGCUUUUUUCAUCCUCCUUAACCCCCCUGCCAGUUUUUGCAUAGCAGACAUGCUUUAACAGAAGAUGAAUCAAGGAGAUUCACAACUUCAGAAUUUAAAUAUAUGAAAGUCAGCAGAGGUCACUGUGAAGUGCAGAAACUCCUCUUAAGCAUAAAUUGAGUACACAAAAGCUGGCAGCACCUUUUGGGAUUAAAAAUCUCCACCGCACAAAUGCAAUUAAUGUGAUCAUGAAGUAAAAGCUACAUUAGCAUCUGAAAACAAAAUAUGGUCUGUGUCACAGACCUAGGUAACUCAUAGGAGAGAGGUCUGGGGGACUGAGACUCAGAUAAGAUUAAUGUCAGCAAUAAGGAAAGACCGCUUGUUUGUUUGCUUUUGAACUUUGAUUGAGGGCUUUGAUUGAGGUUUUCCUGAUGUGAGAACCUGGAUGUGGAAGCCUUCCAAGCACAGACCUCACUCAGAAUUCUGCAGAAGUUCUGUGGAUGUAGAACUUGCAGGAUUACAUCAGGUAUGCAGCACACCUGCACAUAAACAACUGCAUCUGCUUCUCUAGCAGUGAUUUGGAGAUUUGUAGGCAGAACUGCAGGCUAAGUCAUAGAAAAAUCUAAAAAGAAGAUGCUUUCUCCUUGACUGUAGUUCUGGGCUCAGGUUCUGGCCUUCACUUCAGCUUAAAUGCACUCUUACAUGUAGAAGAUGCAAAGACAACAAAAUAUCCUCUUUAUCCCAUAGGUGUGACGCUCUUGACCACAGCAUCAUCAGACAUUUUUCAGGCUGCCCAUUGGCAGUUCUGCUCUUUCCUCUUCAAAUAAACUUUUACAGGUAUCUUCUCUAAAAUUCACACUGGGCAAAUAUAUAUUAAAAAAAAAAAGGAUUGUAACUUAGGUUACUGGGGUUUGUUUUCUGUGGGUUUUGGUUUUGGUUUUUUUUUUUUUCAGCAAUAGUGCAGAAUCUAAAGGAGAAAAAGCUGCAAAUUACAGCUGACAGUUUCAAUGCUCUUAUAACUACUUUAAUAAAAGAUGUUGUGAUUUCGCUUAGAUAACAUGUCUUGUAAAAACAGCUUAGGUGAACUGAGAAAAUAAUGGUAACAGCUUUGCAAAACUUUACUUGCAAUUUAAAAUAAUUUGGGCGAUGGGGAAAAUGUGUCUGACUCUGAAGACUACAAAGUGUUCCAAACUACAUUAAAAUCACAAUUGCAGAAUCUCUGCUUUUGUGCAAUACAGUGGCAGUAAUUUCUACUUUAAUAGCUGUCAAGGGCAGAUUAACAUCAAGUAUGGAGAAACUAGGCAAAACACCUUUUGCAAGUAAACAUCUUGCAAUUUUUCUCAUUUACCAGAACAAAAUAUGUAGUUUACAAUAUACACUUAGUUUGUAUUCUCAGGCUUAACACAUAGGAUUAUUACCGGUAUGAUAACAGGGUAGUAUAUUUUACAGUAUCGAUGUUUUAGCUCUGAGACUCUCUGGAGAAGGCAGGCAGAGGACUUUAAUGACACAUUAAAGGACUCAGAAAGAAACUAGUAGCAAUCUACAGCACAAAGAGUGGCACUCUUGUCCUUUGACCCAGGACUUAAUCACCUGAAACAAGCUGCGUCACUUCUGUUUGUACAUGACCUAGAAUUGCAGCCCUUUUUAUUUAUGCCAUUUAGAUAGAAAGCCUGGCAUAAAAUAAAAAUCAUCCUGUCACAUUAAAUAGUCACCAAAUUCCUAAAGCCUACCUGAAAUGCCAUCUCAAAUUGACUGUCAGCAACCCACAGCUACUUUUCAAAAGUAGUAUUGCUGAGCAGUUGUCCUCCUCUAUCCUCACCUUCUAGUGAUUUUGUCUAGGAUGUACAUCUUUAGUUACUUACAAGUAUCAACAGGGAACGGAGUAAUAUUUACUGCUUCAUCUGUAUCUAGUAGGCCAUAUGUAGAAAAAGGAUAUUCAUUUGGUUUGGUAUCACAUGUUGUCGAGAGAGGAAUGUCAGCAAGUUUUUCUUGCCUUAUCAUGUUCUAGGCAUUUAGAAACUGGUUAUUUUUUUUCCAAAAUCCAGGAAGUUAGUUAGGCUACUUAAUUAAAAUUACUUGGGUACUCUUCCAUCUGCUUUUCCAAGAGUUAUCAUGUUUCUUUUUCAGUCUUCUGCUGUCUCUUCUAUCCUCCAUGACUUUUCAAAGCUAUGUGAAAUACCUGAAAACAGUUUACUUAGGCUAGUUCCUGAAUCACUUCAGUAGUCUCUUCAAAAUAUAAGUUACAGCAAAUUAGAAUCAGUAGAUAACAGCUGAGAAAAUUAAAAAAUUAAAUGUAAGUUGAAUAUCAGCAGAUAGAUGAGCAGCAGCACAAUACAGACACAGACAUCCUCGGAUGCCAAAUGUAGACCCCAAAAGAUCAACAGAGCAGAAAUUUUCUCUCUAAAAAAGUAAUUAAUGAUCAACUGAAAACCAUCCAAACAGUGCAAUAAUAUUUGCAGAAAAUAUCUUAUAAAUAGCUUUUGUCUUUGAGAAUUAUUUCCAUCUCUGUCAUAAACCCUUCACAGAUUAUAUAAUACUUGGCUCUUGUUGAGGUACCUCAAUCCUUCCAAGUGGUCCCCUGUUUCUGGAGAAGAAAAUAGAUUGCACGGGUGUUAAACUUGCUUUCCACUUCCUCUGUUCAGGUCUGAUACAAGUACUUGGCUCUUUUGGGUGCCAGGAUGUUAUCAAGUGUAAUGGACAGCUGUUCUGAGUAAAUCUGGGGUAAGAUCACACCUUAGACAGUCCCUGGUUUCCAGCAGUUGGCCUAUAGGCUCUGCUGGUCCUCAGUCCUCCACUGCUGCCACAGCCUACUGGACCUUCUCAUUGCUUACGAAGUGGGAUGCUCGAGGCAGACCUCAGGUCCUCUGAGUCAAUAAAGCUGUCUCUUUUGCUGCUGUAGAGAACAAUAAACAGCUUGUUUUCAUCAGACUCCCCCUUCAUACUCACAAUCAGCCACUCAACUAAGUUUAGGAGCAGCUGAUAGCAUGGUAAGAAGCCUCAAUAAGUACACAGGUUGUUCCAAAAGUCGUACCUCCUAUUUAUUUCCAUGGAAACAACAACAGAUACAAAGAGCACAAUAAUGCUAUUUGAUCGAUCAAAUUCUCAGCUACAAAACACUAUUUUUCAACAUAGUCACCAUCAUUAGCAGAUUCAUGUGGAUGAGCUGAUUGAGAUGCUCUUCAUUUCAUGGGAUGGCAUCUGUGCAGGGCAGCUGGGAACAUGGCUUGUCUUUCACAUCACUGUUGCUACUGCUGAAAUGCACCACCCACCACCUCACUGUGCUCACAGCUACUGUUUGGUCUCCAUAAAUGUCCAGCAGGUGCCAACGAAUGUCAAUGGGUGCAAUUUUUUCCACCUUAAGGAAUUUAAUUCCACACCUUUGCUUCAUAUGCACUUCCAUGUCAGAAAGUCAUUCUGUCAGACCGCGCCUCUGCUGCCAUAUGUCACACAGCAACAAAAUAUAAUGGAAUACUGGUGGAAGGUUCAAGCUCUGCUGCCAUACAUCUGCUUUUUAUGUCACAGACUAACAUAAUAAAAUAGGAGACAUUACUUUUGCAGCAGCCCUUGUACUUUCACCUAACACAUGCAAGCAGGCAGGCAGCCUCUGUCACACCAGGCCAAUCUGCCUUUGUGUUACAGCUGAUUUGCUAUGGAUCCUGACUAGCAUUCUAUGGGUACAUCUUUUGUGUUACAUAGAGGCACAGACAGGGCUCACAGACCAGAACCAGCAUCACACAGGUGCCCUGGCUGCGCUCUGGACUGCUCCAGCUAAAUUUCUCCAUUCCAGACCAGACUGAUAGAAGCUAUACCCAAGCCACAUAAGCAUGAGCCCAUAAACACUGUGAAUGCUAUGUGAAUAAGUGAUCACCCCAAGCAUUAUGAACAUGAGCCCAUCUGUGUAUCUCGGCAUCCUGCUGUCCAUACAGUUUGCCUCCUUGCACAUGAGCAAUUCAGAUGCUGUCCCAGACAGGAUCUGGUAGCAGACUAGAAGUCCAUGCUGAGUGCACUCAGCUGUUCUCCUGACAACGGCCAACUCUUGUCUGAACAGAGGUGGGUGCCAUUCUCCAAAUAGCAGCAUCGUGCACAGCUUCUGCAGGAUUUUUAUUACUGUUAUGCCUUUGUGAGUGGCCGUGCAGACCCUUUUGGUUGUAGUGGCAGACUAAGAACCCCUUUACUAGCUAAUAUACAAAGACUGCUCCUGAUAUUUAUACAAAUAGUGUAGAUGAUUUUCAACUCCAUAAUACCCAAAGGCAGACUUCAAUGGAAACAGAACAACGCUGCCAACUACAGUGAACCUUGGAUUAGGACUUCCACAUUUUUAUGAAAGGAUCUCAGAAACUUUUAUAGUGAAGGUCUGUGUCUAACACACACGUACCAGUGCUCCUAGCUUAGAUCAGAUCCUAUACUUUUAGCUACUACACUACCAAAGAUGAAUAUUUGGAAAAUAAUCCUUCUUUCCCUUAUACAAAAACAUUUGUAAUCAAACAUCAUAAAUGGUAUUCUGAGCAAGGGAAGUAAACACUACCUGAAAUACUGGCAUGCGUUACAGAAAACAGUAAUUUAACAUUCUAUAAUUCCUUUCUUUUUCAGAGAAACAAUUAUAUACACUUCACCAUCUUCAGCAGUAUUAAAGAUGUUAUAAUUUAAGAUAACUUUAACUAAUAAAUCAUAGUGGUAGUACAAAGUGUUGCUAAUAUUAGCCUUAGGCAGUGGUCUGGGAAAAAUAAGAAGGUAUUUGAUGCUUCUUUAACAUUUUUGGAAAACAUGUAUUUUUAAAAUAUUUUAUAGGUUAAAAUACUGAUAAUCCUCUAUGUUUCUUUAGUAGCACUGUGAAGUAACGUCUUUGCCAUCCUUUUGAACUACAUAACAAUAAUUAUUUAAAAUUAUAUCAGUCAAAUUGCACUUAAAAAUAUGGGACUGAGUCCCUAAUAAAUCUUCCUUGUUUUUGCAGUAACCCAGAUAAAAUUAACUUUGCUAAUCUUGACUUGUUUUAUUGUACCCUCUCUCUCUCUUCUUAUGUACAGAAUUAUGUACAGAAUACGACAGAAAGUGUUGGGCAACCUUAACUGCAUUUAUUGCUACAACUCUUCCCAUAAAACUUAAGGUGAAAUACUGGUAUAAUUAAACUGAGGGGAGUGCUCACACUGAUUUCAGAGAAUGAAAGAGAAAAGAAGUGUUUCCUGAAAUACAGUAAUGUCUCCACAAUAAAAAUUUGUAUUUACAUGGAAAGCACUGAUAAUAUUUCAGGAAAUCCAAUAAUUGAAAGUAUUAUAUGCAAAAAGCAUAUAUAAAUGUCUCUAAAAAUGUGGCUAUGAAUAUAAAGAUACAUGUAAAAAGUCUAAAUUUGAUUAUUUCAAUUAGAUAUGCAUUUGUCUUUUUUAAUCUAUGCUAGGAACACUAUCAAAAUCAUUUGAAAGGAAAGAAAAAUGAAGUACAAUUUACUCAUCCGGAACCACAAGGAAAAUACUAACCACUAAAGUAUGUAAUGUAAUUCCAUUACUUAAAACACUUUCAAGGGACUGUGAGACUUCUAUUACUGUCGCAACAGUACUGUGGGAUCUUAUCACUGAAAGAUAAAAGAGCAGCCAAACCACAGAUCUCACCUAGUAGUGAGUAAGUCCCCAGUCUUCAGUGACUCGUGUAUACAAUCUAUUUUAUGCAGCAGCAAUCUUGCUUCAGACCACAAAACUUACCAAAUAUGCAAAGUUAGGCACAUACCUUUUCCUAAGCUGCAGAGUCACAGUGAGUGUACUUGCACCAAGAUAUGCACAUUGCUUUACAAACAGUAUUAGGUUUGACCUGCUCUGGUUUUAUUCACAUAAAAGCAUUACUUCAGCAGUCUACAUACCAUUUCUUUUAUGAAUCAAAUCUUUAUCAUGAAAAGGUAACUACCAACUUAGAAAUUAUAUUUUAACAUCUUCCCAGUUUUGUCUGUAAUGUCUUCACAUGUCAGAAUAUUUUUUUUAACAUUUAAGAAAUCACAGAAUCAGAGAAAGGGAGGCGUUGGAAGGGGCCUCAAGAGUUCAUUAAGUCCAACCCCCUGCUAAAGCAGCUUCCCUACAGUAUGUCGCACAGGUAGGUGUCCAGAUGGGUCUGGAAUAUUUCCAUAGAAGGAGACUGCACAACUUAUUUGGUAACCUGUUCCAGUGCUCUGUCACCCUUACUGUAAAAAUAUUCUUCUGCACAUUAGUACGGAACUUCCUAUGUACAAGUUUUAGGCCAUGACUCCUUGUCCUAUCCCUACACAUCACCGAGAAGAGCCAGGCCUCAUAUAUCUGCCUCCAACCUCCCUUUAAACAUUUAUAAACACUUAUCAGAUCCCCCCUCAGUCUUCUUUUCCCCAGGCUGAACAGACCCAGGUUACUCAGCCUUUCCUCAUACAGGGGAUGCUCCAGGCCCUUUGUCAUCUUUGUGGCCUUCUGCUGGGCUCCUUCUAGGAGAUAUCUGUUUCUUCAACUGGGGAGCCCAGAACUGGACACAGUAGUCUAAAUGUGGGCUCACCAGGGCAGAGUAGAGAGGGAAAAUCACCUCCCUUGACCUGCUGGCCACACUCUUUUUCAACUUGUUUUUCUUCUGAUUUUCAAUUAAACUUAAAAAGUAGUUCUGAAGUCUGAGGGAACUCAUUACGUAUGGCAGCAUUAUAAGAGGUAUUUGGGGACAUACGAAAUUAAUGCACCUUCAAAAAAUCAUAUAAAUUUUAAUUAUUUUCAUUUCAAAUGGACUCCAUCUUGAUAAGCUUUUGAGUAUCUUUAGUGAGUUGAAAAUAUUUGAAGACACACAAUAUUUAUAUCCUAGCUCCUAAAUGCAAUGAUUGCAGUAAAAUCUUUUUUAUGAGCUGAAUAGUGUUAUCUAGCCACAAAAUUGCAUUUAUUCUCAUCCUUACUGGUGCAUGAAUGUUGACUGUCUGGUAGUGAGGUCAAUUUCCAUUACCUCCAAAUCCUAUAAAAUAACUGGGCUUUCUCUUAACAAACAGCACAAUGUCAUCCUUGGGCUCCUUCACCACAGGAGGAUAUUUCAGCUUCCUUGAAACUGCUAUCAACUUAUUCUUUAUUUGCUUUGGAAUGGGAAUGGGUAGGCACGAUGGAGUAAUAGUCUCUCUAGUGUAUAAAGUGCCAUUGGAAAUCCCUUAAAUCUCUUCCCAGCCUUCACAAUAAACAACUUUGGUAUAGAACCUUAGAGACUCUGGGUAGAGAUGAAGAUAUCAGUUGGCCAACUUUAAAGAUUGUCUAGUUUUAUCAAAUCACCUUCCAGUUCUCAAGGUGUGCAAGGACUGUUUUAUUACAUUCAACAAAAUUUAUCUUCACUGUCCUUAUCCCUAUCUGAUUUUGAGUGUUUUCCUUGUCAUCACUGAGAGACAAAUAGUUCUCACUUUUGUUAAAAUGAAAUAGAAGUGAUAUUCUCAAGUGGACCGAUGUUAUUUUGAAGGCCUGGGAUUGUGAGACCUUCCGUUUCAAGUUUUCUGUCUGACUUUGGGCAGAAUUUAAUCCACGCUCCAGUUCUUCACUCACAAAAUAAAGCUGUGAUAUUUCCCAUCUUUCAGUCUUGCCUGUUCGGUUCCUCCAGGAAAAGUAUCCCAAAUAUCAUUAGCACAGUGCCCAGCCUACUGAAAUCUUACCUUCGUUUGGCACUUGCUGUCAAAUAGCACACAUAGUAAAUAAAUCAGACCAUCCCCAUGCCUUUUCUCCCCACCUAUAAAGGGGGGCUUCCCAGCCCCUCCCUCUGUUCACAAGUGGCUGGUCAUCUCUCCUCCCCGAACCCUUUUACACAGCAUUUUAAGUCUCCAAAGACAGACUGGCAAGAUGGGUGGCCCUCAGACUGGAUGAUCGAAUCCAUCUCUCAACUCUUAUUCUAUCUAAAAUAGUAAGAAAGGGCUUGAAUUAACAGGAGUUAAUUUAAGCCGUUACAAGAGUAAAUGAAUGCUGGCUUUAAGCCUAAUGCUCUUGAGGGGAUUGGAGUUCUAACAGAGACUGAA
ensembl:lncRNA